GACGAACGCUGGCGGCGUGCUUAACACAUGCAAGUCGUACGGUAAGGCCCUUUCGGGGGUACUCGAGUGGCGAACGGGUGAGUAACACGUGAGUAACCUGCCCACCACUUUGGGAUAACGCUAGGAAACUGGUGCUAAUCCUGGAUAUGUGCUCCUGCUGCAUGGUGGGAGUUGGAAAGCUCCGGCGGUUGUGGAUGGACUCGCGGCCUAGCAGCUUGUUGGUGGGGUAGUGGCCUACCAAGGCGGCGACGGGUAGCCGGCCCGGGAGGGUGACCGGCCACAGUGGGACUGGGAUACGGCCCAGACUCCUACGGGAGGCAGCAGUGGGGAUUAUUGCACAAUGGGCGUAAGCCUGAUGCAGCAACGCCGCGUGCGGGAUGACGGCCUUCGGGUUGUAAACCGCUUUCAGCAGGGACGAAGCUUUUUGUGACGGUACCUGCAGAAGAAGCACCGGCUAACUACGUG
rnacentral:rRNA from 1 species